rfam:Brassica napus, WGS project CCCW01000000 data, contig: 7367
GGAAUAUAAGAAUCCGUCUUUUAACUUUUAACUAAAAAAAUUAAGAAUCGGCUCUUAAAACUCUUAUUUAAAAACCGGUUCUUAGUUUUUUUAGUUAAAAGUUAAGAAAUGAGUUCUUAUAUUUC